UACGAAGGGGGCUAGCGUUGCUCGGAAUCACUGGGCGUAAAGGGUGCGUAGGCGGGUCUUUAAGUCAGAGGUGAAAUCCUGGAGCUCAACUCCGGAACUGCCUUUGAUACUGAAGAUCUUGAGUUCGGGAGAGGUGAGUGGAACUGCGAGUGUAGAGGUGAAAUUCGUAGAUAUUCGCAAGAACACCAGUGGCGAAGGCGGCUCACUGGCCCGAUACUGACGCUGAGGCACGAAAGCGUGGGGAGCAAACAGG
rnacentral:rRNA from 1 species